rnacentral:rRNA from 1 species
UACGGGGGGGGUAAGCGUUGUUCGGAAUUACUGGGCGUAAAGGGUGCGUAGGCGGUCUUCUAAGUCAGUUGUGAAAUACUUCAGCUUAACUGGAGAGGUGCAAUUGAUACUGGAAGACUUGAGUACUGAUGAGGUAGGCGGAAUGGACGGUGUAGCGGUGAAAUGCUUAGAUGUCGUCCAGAACACCGAUAGCGAAGGCAGCUUACUAAGGAGUAACUGACGCUGAGGCACGAAAGUGUGGGGAUCAAACAGG